UAAAACGAAUGUUGGUGUUUGGUGAG
rnacentral:piRNA from 1 species